rnacentral:rRNA from 1 species
UACGGAGGGUGCAAGCGUUAUCCGGAUUCACUGGGUUUAAAGGGUGCGUAGGUGGGCUUGUAAGUCAGUGGUGAAAUCUCCGGGCUUAACUCGGAAACUGCCAUUGAUACUAUAAGUCUUGAAUACCAUGGAGGUGAGCGGAAUAUGUCAUGUAGCGGUGAAAUGCUUAGAUAUGACAUAGAACACCAAUUGCGAAGGCAGCUCACUACACAAUCAUUGACUCUGAGGCACGAAAGCGUGGGGAUCAAACAGG